AGAGUUUGAUCCUGGCUCAGGAUGAACGCUAGCGGGAGGCCUAACACAUGCAAGUCGAACGGGAUCCCCGAGCAAUCGGGGUGAGAGUGGCGCACGGGUGAGUAACGCGUAUGCAACCUACCUGUAACAGAGGGAUAGCCCAGAGAAAUUUGGAUUAAUACCUCAUAAUAUUGUUGAAUGGCAUCAUUUGACAAUUAAAGUUUCGGCGGUAAAAGAUGGCUAUGCGUCCUAUUAGUUAGUUGGUGAGGUAACGGCUCACCAAGACAUCGAUAGGUAGGGGUCCUGAGAGGGAGAUCCCCCACACUGGUACUGAGACACGGACCAGACUCCUACGGGAGGCAGCAGUGAGGAAUAUUGGACAAUGGGCGCAAGCCUGAUCCAGCCAUGCCGCGUGCAGGAAGACGGCCCUAUGGGUUGUAAACUGCUUUUUAUACAGGAAGAAAAACUUUUCACGUGUGGGAGCUUGACGGUAGUGUAUGAAUAAGCAUCGGCUAACUCCGUGCCAGCA
rnacentral:rRNA from 1 species